GCAGGUAGACAAAAAAUAAUGACAACCGAACAUAGUGUCACGGAACAGCUGGUUUGCACUAGUGCAGAUUCAGCAUCUAAAAUCUACACAAAUACCUAGAUUACAAAUUCUAAUAAAUACAAUGUGUCGAAUUUAUACGAAACUAAUUUACAUGAAACUGUUUCCAAAUAUUCCUAUAGUAUGGCUUAUUUAUAUACUAUAAAAUCAAUGCAUAAAUAAAUUAAAUAACUUUAUGUAUCAUAACUUUCUAAUUUCCUAC